rnacentral:lncRNA from 1 species
AUGGGGAGUUUCCAGUAUCCUCUGGAAACUUCCAGUAUCCAGAGGAUACUGGAAACUCACCUGGACAAAGGAAGUGAGAUAGUGCCUGGGGCGGGGGAAGGUGAAGUGUUGGCUCUCUUCACAGGAUCACUUCAGGCACAAGUCCUUGCCCAGGGACCAGGUGAACAUUGCACAGGCAGCCAGAACCAAUGGCCAGCCCACUGUGAAUCUGCAUCAGCAGGAAGGAGCUUGAGUGAGGAGGGGCAGCUCUGUAGGCAAUGGAGCAGAGAUCAGAGACAGACUUGCACUGGGCCCAGACUCAGCUUCAGAAGACUCUGGAAGCUGCUUGUUGCCCAGUAUUUUCCACUGCAACCCCAGGCAGACUUAGACUGCAUCUCUACCUGCUGGACACCAAGGAGAUCGACAACCCUGCUUUUAGCUUUCUCUUUGGAAUAUGGAGAGUAAAACUUCACUAAUACUCCACCUUUAUUCCAAGGACUGUUUGUGGCAGCUUCCUGAUCCCUGGAUUGUAGCUACGGCGCUAUGUUCUCAAACUCAGUAUUUCAGCGGCCAUCGGAGACUGCAGCUCCCCAGGUGGGUUAGUUCAGUAGUGUUCUGGGAAUCAUUCCUAAAGGCCCUGCCAUAGUCUGCUUCUCCAGCUUUUCAAGUGAUUUUGUAAGCACUUAAUGCUCUGCAUUAAGCUCCUUUUUCCUUAAGAAUAUUGAGAUACUGUGAGUUUCUGUUUCCUGUUCUAAACCUUGCCUGAUGCGGGCAUUUAGAAGAUAAUUAUAACACAACUCAAUAAAUGCUAUUAAAAAUAGUGUGAACA